rnacentral:piRNA from 1 species
UACCUAUCCCGGUACCUUUGAAUUUGGGAAC